rnacentral:lncRNA from 1 species
GCUCUCUCCAAAGCAGGUUAUGAUUUCUGAAAAAAAUAACAAGGCAUUUAGAUGUAUCUGAAAUCUAUAAAAUCUAUUACAUCGUGAAAUUGAGUAAAUUUUCUGAAGUUUUCGAAUUCCAACGGGCAAGAUUUUCUUCUACUCUGACAUUCACACAUUUGCCUUCAAAAGAUAAGCUCUAAACCUUAUGAAGCUCAGUACACAAGAAAAUAAACCAAGAGUUCUCAUGGCACUGCUUCAUAUCAAGUUUGUAGGCUUAAAAAGGAUAAAAUUUGCUGUGGGGCGCCAGGUGGGUCCAUCUAGUAUGAACGUACUUGUCUCUGCAAAAGCAUGGAAUCAAAUUUUAAGAGUGAAGUACCAGAAAAAUAAGAUUCAGAAGCAAGCACCUCCUUUUCCCCUCGUACCCACCUCACAAAACAGAGGACACUCUCCAUCAUUCCCAAAUGGAGGUAAAGAGCUGCCAGAGACCGGGAUGAUGCACUUCCCCUGCUGCUUGGCUUUCGGAUUUCCCAUCAGUUGGGGGCCGGAUAAGGGAGGGGACAAGUGCAACACAGCAACCAUGGCAGCCACGGUUGCCGACACCAAGUAAUUGGCUAAAACCGGAGGCAACCGUACGCCGGGGAUGAAAACAUAC